rnacentral:rRNA from 1 species
AGUAACGCGUGGGAACGUGCCCUUUGCUACGGAAUAGUCCCGGGAAACUGGGUUUAAUACCGUAUACGCCCUUCGGGGGAAAGAUUUAUCGGCAAAGGAUCGGCCCGCGUUGGAUUAGGUAGUUGGUGGGGUAAUGGCCUACCAAGCCGACGAUCCAUAGCUGGUUUGAGAGGAUGAUCAGCCACACUGGGACUGAGACACGGCCCAGACUCCUACGGGAGGCAGCAGUGGGGAAUCUUAGACAAUGGGGGCAACCCUGAUCUAGCCAUGCCGCGUGAGUGAUGAAGGCCUUAGGGUUGUAAAGCUCUUUCAGCUGGGAAGAUAAUGACGGUACCAGCAGAAGAAGCCCCGGCUAACUCCGUGCCAGCAGCCGCGGUAAUACGGAGGGGGCUAGCGUUGUUCGGAAUUACUGGGCGUAAAGCGCACGUAGGCGGAUCGGAAAGUUGGGGGUGAAAUCCCGGGGCUCAACCUCGGAACUGCCUCCAAAACUAUCGGUCUUGAGUUCGAGAGAGGUGAGUGGAAUUCCGAGUGUAGAGGUGAAAUUCGUAGAUAUUCGGAGGAACACCAGUGGCGAAGGCGGCUCACUGGCUCGAUACUGACGCUGAGGUG